CCUACGGGUAGCAGCAGUGAGGAAUAUUGGUCACUGGCCGAGAGGCUGAACCAGCCAAGUCGCGUGAGGGAAGAAUGUCCUAUGGAUUGUAAACCUCUUUUGUCAGGGAGCAAAGUCACCCACGUGUGGGUGAUGGAGAGUACCUGAAGAAAAAGCAUCGUGUAACUCCGUGCAAGCAGCCGGGGUAAUACGGAGGCUGCGGGCGUUAUCCGGAUUUAUUGGGUUUAAUGGGUGCGUAGGUGGAUUAUCAAGGCAGCGGUAAAAUGGAGGAGCUCAACUCCAUCCAGCCGGUGAUACUGAUGAUCUUGUGUGAGCGAGAAGUAGGCGGAAUUCGGGGUGUAGAGGUGAAAUGCAUAGAUAUCACGCAGAACUCCGAUUGCGAAGGCAGCAUACCGGCGCCCGACUGACGCUGAAGCACGAAAGCGUGGGUAUCGAACAGGAGUAGAUACCCCAGUAGUC
rnacentral:rRNA from 1 species